UUGGCUCAGGACGAACGCUGGCGGCGCGCCUAGCACAUGCAAGUCGAACGAGAGAUGAGGAGCUUGCUCUUCAAAUCGAGUGGCGAACGGGUGAGUAACGCGUGAGGAACCUGCCUCAAAGAGGGGGACAACAGUUGGAAACGACUGCUAAUACCGCAUAAGCCCACGGCUCGGCAUCGAGCAGAGGGAAAAGGAGCAAUCCGCUUUGAGAUGGCCUCGCGUCCGAUUAGCUAGUUGGUGAGGUAACGGCCCACCAAGGCGACGAUCGGUAGCCGGACUGAGAGGUUGAACGGCCACAUUGGGACUGAGACACGGCCCAGACUCCUACGGGAGGCAGCAGUGGGGAAUAUUGCACAAUGGGGGAAACCCUGAUGCAGCGACGCCGCGUGGAGGAAGAAGGUCUUCGGAUUGUAAACUCCUGUUGUUGAGGAAGAUAAUGACGGUACUCAACUAGGAAGUGACGGCUAACUACGUGCCAGCAGCCGCGGUAAAACGUAGGUCACAAGCGUUGUCCGGAAUUACUGGGUGUAAAGGGAGCGCAGGCGGGAGAGCAAGUUGGAAGUGAAAUCCAUGGGCUCAACCCAUGCACUGCUUUCAAAACUGUUUUUCUUGAGUAGUGCAGAGGUAGGCGGAAUUCCCGGUGUAGCGGUGGAAUGCGUAGAUAUCGGGAGGAACACCAGUGGCGAAGGCGGCCUACUGGGCACCAACUGACGCUGAGGCUCGAAAGUGUGGGUAGCAAACAGGAUUAGAUACCCUGGUAGUCCACACCGUAAACGAUGAUUACUAGGUGUUGGAGGAUUGACCCCUUCAGUGCCGCAGUUAACACAAUAAGUAAUCCACCUGGGGAGUACGACCGCAAGG
rnacentral:rRNA from 1 species